GUAGGUGGCAAGCGUUGUCCGGAAUUAUUGGGCGUAAAGCGCGCGCAGGCGGGUCCUUUAAGUCUGAUGUGAAAGCCCACGGGCUCAACCGUGGAGGGUCAUUGGAAACUGGGGGACUUGAGUACAGAAGAGGAAAGCGGAAUUCCACGUGUAGCGGUGAAAUGCGUAGAGAUGUGGAGGAACACCAGUGGCGAAGGCGGCUUUCUGGUCUGUAACUGACGCUGAGGCGCGAAAACGUGGGGAGCAAACAGGAUUAGAUACCCUGGUAGUCCACGCCGUAAACGAUGAGUGCUAAGUGUUAGGGGGUUUCCGCCCCUUAGUGCUGCAGCUAACGCAUUAAGCACUCCGCCUGGGGAGUACGGCCGCAAAGGCUG
rnacentral:rRNA from 1 species